UGGUCUCAAGCAAUCACAACCCGCAUCUGAAAUAUCAAUUGCAAAAAGAGUGGCUUACAGUUUUCUUCUCAGCCAAAAGAACUAAACAUCUUACUUGAAGAAGUGGAACAGAACAUCUGAUGCCAUCUGUUCUUCAACCAUUGCAGGAUCCUUUUGCACAAGCAGAAUUUUAUAGCUUUGCAAUAGGAGAUGGAGAAGACCACUCAAAGACAUGAAGUUCUAGAAAAACUGUUCUAAUUGACUCAUGUACAACGAAGGUCAUUCACAAUGGAUGAAAUCCUACGAUUUGUCAAAUAUUUGAAAAAUAUCAACUGUUGAAGAAGCCUGAAUAUGUACGACAUGACCUUGACAGUUUGAUGGGUGGACAAACUAAGUUUUGAGAUGUUGUAACACAGUGGAAGUCAAAGUGGGUUAAUGCAAUUAGCAUAUGCUGGACUACAUACCUGGGAAAGAAAGAGCUUGGCAAUAAAAUAUCAGAGUGGAGAGACAACAUGCAGAGCGUAUAUGCUGUGGAAGGCUUGAGUAUAGCAAUGAGCCCUAGGAAAGGCGGUGGCAUUGUUUGCUGCAAAAAAAGCAGGGAUGUUUAUACAGGGAAGUACAAGUCUUAAGGAAGUCAUGGAGGCAGUUUACUCCUGGGCUUGUAUCCUUGUGGACUCUUCUACAGUGGACUCUACUGAAGUAUUCCUCGUUCUGAAAAAGAAAUCCUAAUUGGGAUACCAGUAAAAGAAAAUGCCAAUGACUACGUUGUGGUGGGACACUAUGUAUUCAACAUACACUAGUACUACGACUAAGCAGCUGCGCCAGCCCUGGUAUUCAUUUUACACAGUGUGCUUGGAUUGGAAGAAAAAGGACGGAAGAGCUCAUCGUAUUUGGCAGCUACUUCAUCUUUACGAUCUUUUACUUUGCAGUGACUGUUACACUUGUUGACACGGUAUACUCACAGUAUGGAUCAGUAAAUGUUUGGUACUUUGCAGUUAUUUAAUUAGAAGGUUC